rnacentral:piRNA from 1 species
AGUUAGGAACAUGUAUGUAACAUGAAGCAG